UGCUAAGACAGCUGUGUGAAAAUAUUUGUGGGUGUUGAUGCAUUCAUCCCUGAGGGACUAACCCAGCUUGAAAUUAUAUUUGCACACAUGCCUAUGCUUCUUUCCUUUUUAAGUGUUAUCUCUGGAUGUCUCAUGAAAAUACCUGCUUCUGCUUUCUCAAUCAUGUUUCAGUGAAAUCAUCAAGGAAAUACGCUUCUUCUUGGAGAGUCUCGAUGUUUCUUGUGAGCUGGGACAAACUUUCUUGUGAGCUGGGACAAAAGUGUGCAGUCAAGUGGAAAUUAAUAGUAGGAUGAAUGGUGGAAACAUUGUCUUUAAACAAACUCUUAGAAGCAUAGAAAUUAGAGCCAGGAAAAAUUACUUCCAAUCAUCAAGAUUGUCCCUAUGCCAUUUCAGGAUUGCUCCCUCACCAUGUAUUUUGUCCUGUCCAGUUUCAAACAUCAAAAGCAGUAGUUCUCUUAGCACACUUAUU